UGCUUCAUUUUGAACAGUCGGUGAAAGCAAUAAUGGUGGCCUCUGAAUCGUCUACUUUUUGAAUGAUUGAAAGACAGUUCACCGAAAGUGCUGAGAAAUUUCCUCUGUGCUAGCUUUUUACUUUUGACUACUUUCCUGGAAAAUGUAUGCAUAGUUUUUUACUUGGUGUUCUUUCAUUCUGGUGAAGAAUAUAAGUUUAUUCAAAAUAGAUGAGCUAAGUUGCUGAGGGCAGAAAGAGAGCUGAAAAACUGAUUGGGAAGUGUCUAUUGAUAUAUUUACUCGUCCAAGUUCUAACCAGGCUAUAAUAUGGCUGCUGCUUCUUCUUGCUCUGCUAUCAUCCCUCGGAAGAAAUAUGAUGUAUUUCUUAGUUUCAGAGGCGAGGACACCCGGUAUGCUUUUACCAGCCAUCUUUAUGAGGCUUUACUUCGGGCCAAAAUCCAAACUUACAUAGAUAACAAAUUGGAGAGAGGAGAUGAAAUCGCACCUGCCCUUCUCAAAGAAAUCAGUGAAUCGAAGCUUUCGGUUAUCAUUUUCUCCAAAAACUAUGCUUCUUCUGCAUGGUGCUUGGAUGAACUUGUGCACAUACUCGAAUGUAGAGAUCUCUAUAAACAGUUUGUUAUACCCAUCUUCUACGGCGUAGAUCCAUCAGAUGUACGCAAACAAUGUGGGAGUUAUGCAGAUGCAUUUGUUGAACAUGAGAAACGUUUCAAGGACCCAAUGAACAAGGUGCUCAGGUGGAGAAAUGCUUUGACAACAGCAGCCAAUAUAUCUGGGUUUGAUUCCCAAACAAUUAGGCCCGAGUCUGAAUUAGUUAAGAGGGUGGUCAAUGACAUUUUGGCGAAAUUGGAUGGCAAAUCGCAAAACGCAGGUGGUUUGGAGCGCUGGGUUGGAAUGGACAAACACAUAAUUCAACUUGUUGAGUUAUUAUGCCUCAACUCACGGGAUGUCCACAUUGUAGGCAUUUGGGGUAUGGGUGGUAUCGGUAAGACCACCAUUGCUGAUGCUGUAUAUCACCGUCUCUCUUUUGAAUUCGAAGCUUGCUGCUUUAUUAAAGAUGUUAGGGAAAAAGCAUCAGAGACGAAACAUGGACUACCAUAUGAUUUGCGAAAUGAUCUUUUUCGUACUCUACUAAAGGAUGAAAAAAUACGCGCAGACACCCCCUCUAUCGGAUCAACUUUUAUGAGAGACAGGCUUGGCAGUACAAAGGCUCUCAUUGUUCUUGAUGAUGUGAGUGAGUUUUCCCAAUUAGAAUUUUUUGCUGGAGGCGAUUUCAAUCUGUUUGGCCCUGGAAGUAGAAUCCUUGUAACAACCAGAAAUAAACGCAUAUUUCGGAACGGUGAUGAGAUAUAUGAGGUUGAGGAAUUAGACGUCGAUGAAGCUCUUGAGCUCUUUUAUUCGAGAGCUUUUAGAAAUAAGUCUCCCCCGGGUGAUUAUACAACUUUUGCAAAAGAGGUGGUAGAUUAUGCUGGAGGCAAUCCAUUGGCUCUUACAAUCUUGGGCUCCGUAUUCUGUCAUUGCAAGAGCAAAGAAGACUGGGAAGGUGAAUUAGAUAAAUUGAAAAAAUUUCCCGACAAAGGAAUCCAUAAGGUAUUGAGGUUAAGUUAUGAUGGCUUAGGAGAAAAUGAGAAGGAGAUAUUUCUCGAUAUCGCUUGUUGUCACAAAGGAAAGCAUAUUGAUGAGGCAAAAAGAAUUUUAAAUGCCUGUGGUUUUUCUGCCAAUGCGGGAGUGAGACUUCUCAUUGAUAUGUCUCUCAUAUCCGUGGAUCUUCGUUCAAGACUUGUUGAGAUGCAUGAUUUGAUACAAGAAAUGGGUCGGGAAAUUGUUCGUGAUCAAUGUGUUAAAAAUCCUGAAAAACGCAGUAGAUUGUGGCAUGCAAAUGAUGUUUGUCAUGUACUGACAAAUAACACGGGUACUGAAGACAUUGAGUGCAUGGCCAUGAAUAUGGAUCUCAUUAAAGAUUUUUAUGUGAAUGUUGCAUCCUUCGAAAAGAUGCAUAAGCUAAGAUUACUAGAUCUAUGCUCGUACACCAGGGGUGUCAACAAAUUGCACCUUCCUCCAGGUUUCGAGUUUCUCCCUGAGGCCCUUAUAUAUCUGAGGUGGCAUUUCUAUCCCUUGACAUCUCUGCCAUCGAGGUUUUCUCCAGAAAACCUUGUCGAGCUUCAUAUGCCCAACAGCCGACUUGAGCAACUUUGGAAUAAAGGCGUGCAGAUCAAUCUUGGGAGCAUAAAACGUAUCGAUCUUAGUCGCUCCGAGCACCUGGCUGAUGUUUCAGCUCUGAUUGAGAGUCCAAAUCUCGAGAGCAUUGACCUUUGGGGUUGUAAAAGUUUGGUUCAACUUCCUUCAUCGUUUCAGAAUCUUGCCAAGCUUACUUCUCUUAGUCUGGAUGGUUGCUCCAAUCUCAAAAUUCUCCCAGAGAUGCCAGGCAAUCUGGAAGUCUUAUGGUUGAAUGGGACUGCAAUAGAAGAAUUGCCUUCAUCAAUUUGGUCUCUCGAGAAGCUUCAUCUUUUGGAUCUUCAUAUAUGUAAAGAGCUUAAGAAUCUUCCAAGCAGCACUUGUAGGUUGAAUUCGCUCCCAAAUCUUCAUCUAGCUGGCUGCCGCUCUCUUGAGUCUUUGCCUGUCGAGCUACCUUCUGGGCUGAAGAGACUGCAGUUGACAAAUUGCAAGAGUCUUGGGUCUUUGCCUGUCGAGCUACCUUCUGGGCUGGAGUACCUGGAGUUGAGCGAUUGUGAGAGUCUUGGGUCUUUGCCUGCCCAGCUACCUUCUGGGCUGAAGGAAUUGGACUUGAGAAAUUGCAAGAGUCUUGGGUCUUUGCCUGUCGAGCUACCUUCUGGGCUGGAGUACCUGGACUUGAGCGAUUGUGAGAGUCUUGGGUCUUUGCCUGUCGAGCUACCUUCUGGGCUGAAGACACUGGAGUUGGUCUCUUGCAAGAGUCUUGGGUCUUUGCCUGUCGAGCUACCUUCUGGGCUGGAGUACCUGGACUUGAGCGAUUGUGAGAGUCUUGGGUCUUUGCCUGUCGAGCUACCUUCUGGGCUGGAGUACCUGGACUUGAGCGAUUGUGAGAGUCUUGGGUCUUUGCCUGUCGAGCUACCUUCUGGGCUGAAGGAACUGAAGUUGAGAAAUUGCAAGAGUCUUGGGUCUUUGCCUGUCGAGCUACCUUCUGGGCUGAAGUACCUGGACUUGAGCUAUUGCAAGAGUCUUGGGUCUUUGCCUGUCGAGCUACCUUCUGGGCUGAAGGAACUGAAGUUGAGAAAUUGCAAGAGUCUUGGGUCUUUACCGAAGCUGCCCUGGCUUCUAGAACUGGUUAAUGCACAUGGCUGCACGUCACUAGAGACAGUCUCAAGUCCGAUGAGGACUGCACCCAUACAAGUCACAAGCGACAGGCUUGAGAUCGUUGGAAGGAAUCAAAGCCGACUCACCGGAAAGGUGUUUGACGUAACACCUGAGAUAACGGAGUUAAGGAGAAAUAAGAGUGAGGAGGCCAGCUGUAAAGUCUGACUCUGGCUCUGCUGCGACUUUGACAAGGGUGCCAACUUAAUCCCAUUCCAGAAGUACACUGGGAUCAAAUUGCCAAGCACCAAACAAUCCUGGUUUAACACAAGUCUGAACCUCAAGGAAUGUGAGAUGUUGUGUAUGAAGAACUGCUCCUGUACAGCUUAUGCAAAUUCCAAUAUCAGGGAAGGAAGAAGUGGGUGCUUGCUGUGGUUAGGUGAUCUGAUUGACGUAAGAAAUUUAACUAAGAAAGAGAAUGGGCAAGAUAUCCAUAUAAGAUUAGCUGCAUCAGAGCAAGAUAAUGAAGAGACUAGUACCAGAAUCAAUGCUAAACCUGCUAAAUCCAAUGUGAAGAAAGUGAGAAUGAUAGCUAGCACUCUUGUUUUAUCUACUGGGCGUAGCUCUGCUCUUUUAUGUUUGGAAGAAAGAUGCAGGAAAACUGAGCCGCAGCCACAAGGAAAAUCUGGAAUUACCAUUGUUUGACUUGGCAACUGUUGUUAAUGUAAUAAACUAGGAGAAGGUGGCUUCGGAUCUGUCUUUAAGGGUAUGAUGGAAGAUGGACGAGAAAUAGCAGUGAAAAGGCUCGCAAGACACUCUAUGCAAGGAAUUAAUGAGUUCAAAAAUGAGGUUGUACAUAUUGCCAAACUUCAGCACAGGAAUCUAGCGAAGCUUCUAAGGUGCUGCUUUCAACAAGAUGAAAUGAUACUGAUCUACAAAUGCAUUCCCAACAAAAGGUUGGACUUCUUUAUUUUCGGUAUCACUGACAACUUUAUAUUUGGUUUUAUUGGUCCAUAUGGUUACGUGUCCCCAGAAUACACAAUUGAUGGGUUCUACUCGAUAAAAUCCAAUGUCUACAGCUAUGGAGUUUUGGUGUUAGAGAUAGAGAGUGGGAAGAGAAACCGAGGAUUCUCACAUCCAGGCCACAAUCGCAACCUUUUUGGACAUGUGAGCUACAACUGUCAACUUGAAAGAAAUGUAUUGCUGCUUGAUUCUUCUUCUUCUUCUAUAUAUUCAGUAAAAGUGAAUGUUUUCUUCUUUCAAGCAUGGAAGCUGUUCAUAGAAGGCAUGUCCAUCGAACUUCUUGAUCCAUCGGUAGAGGACUCUAUCACUCUACAUGAAGUUGUGCGACCGAUUCAUGUAGGUCUUUUAUGUGUGCAACAAAAACCACAAGAUAGGCCGAGUAUGCCAGCUGCUGUUCUAAUAUUGAGUGGUGAAGGUGCAUUGCCUCAACCUCAGAAGCCUGGAAUUUGACAGAACUUGAAGAUUCUACAGAUGACGCUACAGAAUGUUCAGCUAAUGAACUCACUGUUACGCUAGUGAGGGCUCAAUGAAUGUUGAUAUCAUGUUGAGUAUUCUCUGCCCUUCAUCCCCUUGCUUUCCUCUGAUAUGAGUUGGGGCUCAUUUGAAAGAUGAGUUACAAGCACAAACUUUUGUUAACACUUUAGGCCUAGUUAAUUAUCAACUUCUCAUUGGCACCAAUUUGAGUCUGAAUUAACCACUGGGUUGAACCAGCUAACUCUUAGUAAAUGACUCUGUAAAACUGUAUAUGGAUGCCUUACCAGCCAUUUCAAUUGAAACUUCGACUGCUACUCUUAUAUCCCAAAAGCUACACUUACUACAAUGCAUUUUCUACAA